rnacentral:rRNA from 1 species
GAUGAACGCUAGCGGCAGGCCUAAUACAUGCAAGUCGAACGGUGUCUUCGGACAUAGUGGCGCACGGGUGCGUAACACGUAUGCAACCUACCUUACAUUGGGGGAUAGCCUUUCGAAAGGGAGAUUAAUACCGCAUAAGACAGUAGCUGGGCAUCCAGCAGCUGUUAAAGAUUUAUCGAUGUAAGCUGGGCAUGCGUCCAAUUAGCUAGUUGGUGAGGUAACGGCUCACCAAGGCUAUGAUUGGUAGGGGUCCUGAGAGGGAGAUCCCCCACACUGGUACUGAGACACGGACCAGACUCCUACGGGAGGCAGCAGUGAGGAAUAUUGGUCAAUGGGCGCAAGCCUGAACCAGCCAUGCCGCGUGCAGGAAGAAGCAAUCUAAUGGGUGUGUAAAACUGCUUUUUAANACAGGAAGAAACAACUCUACGUGUAGAGUC